rnacentral:rRNA from 1 species
AGAGUUUGAUCCUGGCUCAGAGCGAACGCUGGCGGCGUGCUUAACACAUGCAAGUCGAACGUGAAAGGGGGCAACCCUGAGUAAAGUGGCGUACGGGUGAGUAACGCGUAGGUAAUCUACCUUAUAGUUUGGAAUAACCUGCCGAAAGGCGGGCUAAUACUGGAUAGAGCGAAGAAGUCUGUAAAGGACUUUUCGGGAAAGGGAGCUCGCAAGGGCCCUCGCUAUAAGAUGAGCCUGCGUCCCAUUAGUUAGUUGGUAGGGUAAUGGCCUACCAAGACGAUGAUGGGUAGCUGGUCUGAGAGGAUGAUCAGCCACACUGGAACUGAAACACGGUCCAGACUCCUACGGGAGGCAGCAGUGGGGAAUUUUCGGCAAUGGGGGAAACCCUGACCGAGCAACGCCGCGUGAGUGAUGAAGGCCUUCGGGUUGUAAAGCUCUGUUGUAAGGGAAGAACGGCGAUGAUAGGGAAUGAUCAUCGAGUGACGGUACCUUACCAGAAAGCCACGGCUAACUACGUGCCAGCAGCCGCGGUAA